GUUAGCUUUUCCCUAGCAGAUGUCCUCCAAUACUUUAUUCAGCUGACUUAUACAGACAAACAUACCACACGCAGCUGUCCUUUAGCUACCCCUGAGCCUUUAAAUCAACCGCAAACAUCUGUAAAAGUACGCCGAAGCAGCGGAGCUCCAGCUGGGUGCCACGAGGCACCUAGCAGACAGCACAGAGAUCUCUCCGGGACUCACCUACUUAGCCAACCGAUCUGCACAGCACCCCCAAGGCGGCACACUGGAUGCAAUAGAUGCACUGACAAAAGCAAUACGAGCGCGGACAAGGAACGCGGGAUACUCGUGCCUUCGUUCUCCGUCCGAGGCGCGCUCCAGCUCCCAGCACAAGACGCCGGCUCGCUUUCUGCACAAACCUGUUGGCUUCGCACCUGGUUCCGAGGGAAACAACUUUAUAGCUGGAAUGGAUUUGUUGCUGACAUCUCUGAAACAAUGUUGACAUUUUCUUCAAGUUGUAUGGAGCCUUUUCCUGCAAACAGUCCUGCAGAGAAGCAAAAGAAGCCAGAUGAUUUGGGGACUGAAACUGAGCGAGUUGGAUCAAGGAGCCGCUGUUCUGGUGAUUCUCUGUUCCAGAGAACAACUACAAUUAGCCUUUCUUUAGACUCAAGCCAGGAGAAUGUCUGAGAUUUCAACUCCCUUCACUCCAUCAGUCGGAAGAUUGGAAACUCGAGGGAAAAAAAAAGAGCCCUUCAAUUUUAGGUUUGAAUUUUGUUUCUCUCUGUUUGAUAGCUGCCUGAAAAGCAGUAUUUGUGCCAUAGCCCUACAACCGCAUUCAUCCUAGAGAUAUUUUAGAAAAUGAUCGAGACUAUUUAUUUAAUAGUGCUAUAAUGUAUAAGUGAGCCUGUAUUACUCAUGGUGAAUAUAUGCUUUGCUUUAUCCUCACGUCGGCGUAACCCUAUUAUUAUAAAUCAGAGGAUUUGACAGACUACUUCAGUCACAUCUUGCUCACAGCUCCCAUUGUUGGCUGUAACAUCCACAGCAUGCCGUCUGGAAAGUGAACGAACCCCAACAGAUUAUUUUACUUCACUUAACAGCUGGGUGCAUCCUGCUGUAGCAUCAAAGAUGUUUUACCUUUUUUGUUUUUACUAAUGAACUUACUAUCUUAUGCAAUAUCUCUGAAAUUAUAGUAAAUUGUUAGAAAAGUAUUUAAAACACUCACAAUUCACUAAUAUGUAAGCUCUUCAAAAGGAACUCUGCAAUCUUAUCUGCAAGAACUAAAUACUCUACUCAAGAAGUACAUUCCUUAUCUGCUGCUUGAACUAAGCAAGGGUGGGGACAUUUCUCAACCAAUCACCCAUUUAGAACGUUUCCAGUUGGAAUCACACCUGAUGGUUUUAUACUGCUGAGUAUAAUCGUGGUGAAGUAUAUUUCAUAACGAAACAAAAAUAAAGCAAACCUAAAUGUAAGCCGUUUUGACUGGUAAUGCAUUCUUUCCUAUCUUUUCUUUCACAUAUCUGUAAGCUGUAAUUGGAGCUCAGCUUGGAAGAAGUUUCUUGAAGAUACCAUUUUCUCAGCAUUUGCUUUAAAUUACUCAUUAAAUAGUUUAGGGGUUUUUUUUUUUUACUGCUUGUUUUAAAAUUACCGACCUGUUUGUUUUAUUGCAUCCCAAGGAAACACAAGCAUGUACAUGUAAUAAAACUGUUAUGAUACUUGUUUUUGCACUUUGCAUGCUAGAUGACUAGGCAAGCAAUUAUGUUAAUCUAGCUGCUCAAUGCAUUUAUGACUUGUGCUGGAGUUAAAGCCACACCUGUCUGCCCUAUCUCAUAAGAAAUGGGAGUCUAGGAACAGCAGCUCUUCUUAA
rnacentral:lncRNA from 1 species